AUACGAAGGGGGCAAGCGUUGUUCGGAAUAACUGGGCGUAAAGCGCACGUAGGCGGAAUGUUAAGUUAGAGGUGAAAUCCCAGGACUCAACCCUGGAACGGCCUUUAAUACUGGCAAUCUAGAGACCGAGAGAGGUGAGUGGAAUUCCGAGUGUAGAGGUGAAAUUCGUAGAUAUUCGGAGGAACACCAGUGGCGAAGGCGGCUCACUGGCUCGGUACUGACGCUGAGGUGCGAAAGCGUGGGGAGCAAACAGGAUUAGAAACCCCAGUAGUCC
rnacentral:rRNA from 1 species